UUAAGUUCAGCGGGUAUCCCCACCUGAUCCGAGGCCAAGCGUGCUGUAAAAAUAGGCGGCUACCUAUGAGACUGGCUUCUGCUGUUGCGCAUAGCCGGCCGCAUGGCGGCGCCACAAGGGUUUCGACCCGGUCCGUCGCCGCAAGGCUGGGACGCGGAUCAACGCAAGGCUGAGCCUUAGUUGUACUACGGCGCUCGAAC
rnacentral:misc_RNA from 1 species